rnacentral:lncRNA from 1 species
CUGAAGUGCAUGGAUGUGAGAGCGUGUGAGGUGCUGCUGGGAUGUGGAGGAAUGAGUUCCCCAGGGAGAUAUGAGGAAUUCCGGAGACAGUGGUGCUGCCCAGCUGCAUGUGUCCAGAGGUCACUCUGCUCUCUGCUUGGGGUCAGAAAAGUAGGGAAAAGAAUCGAGUGGACAUGGAGUGCCGGCAUGAGAGCUUUUGCCAAGAUCAAAAUGUUCCCCAUCGCUGUGAGCAGAUGAGAUCUUGGAACCUGGACGCACACAGUCCCAGCUCCAGCAGGGCUUCUGGCAACAACCCCAGUGUCUUCAGCUACAGACACCACCUCUGUGAAUGCCAAGAAAAGCAAACACAGGCCCCAGAUCUCCUGUUGCACCAACUGGAAAGAAGCCCACAGCAGAGGAGCUGAGCUGUGAGGACAAUCUUCCCGUAGCUCUUAAUUUUCCACCAUUCUUCCCCCAUCUGAAUCAAACAAACAAACAACAAGCUUGUAAUAAAAUUUGCAGGUGUGGCUGGUUUAUAUUCUGG